CAGCAGCCGCGGGAAUACGAAGGGGGCUAGCGUUGCUCGGAAUUACUGGGCGUAAGGGAGCGUAGGCGGACAUUUAAGUCAGGGGUGAAAUCCCAGAGCUCAACUCUGGAACUGCCUUUGAUACUGGGUGUCUUGAGUGUGAUAGAGGUAUGUGGAACUCCGAGUGUAGAGGUGAAAUUCGUAGAUAUUCGGAAGAACACCAGUGGCGAAGGCGACAUACUGGAUCAUUACUGACGCUGAGGCUCGAAAGCGUGGGGAGCAAACAGGAUUAGAUACCCCCGUAGUCCCUGUCUCUUAUACA
rnacentral:rRNA from 1 species